CAGACUCCUACGGGAGGCAGCAGUGGGGAAUUUUCCGCAAUGGGCGAAAGCCUGACGGAGCAAUACCGCGUGAGGGAGGAAGGCCUUUGGGUUGUAAACCUCAAAAAUUAGGGAAGAAAAAAAUGACGGUACCUAAAAUAAGCAUCGGCUAACUCCGUGCCAGCAGCCGCGGUAAUACGGAGGAUGCAAGCGUUAUCCGGAAUCAUUGGGCGUAAAGAGUCCGUAGGUGGCUAAUCAAGUCCGAAGUUAAAGACAGAAGCUAAACUUCUGGAAAGCAGCGGAAACUGAAGAGCUAGAGUGUAGGAGAGGUAGAGGGAAUUCCCAGUGUAGCGGUGAAAUGCGUAGAGAUUGGGAAGAACACCAGUGGCGAAGGCGCUCUACUGGACUAAAACUGACACUGAGGGACGAAAGCUAGGGUAGCGAAAGGGAUUAGAUACCCCUGUAGUCUUAGCAGUAAACGAUGGAUACUAGGCGAAGUCUGUAUAAACUCAGACUGUGUCGAAGCCAACGCGUUAAGUAUCCCGCCUGGGGAGUACGCACGCAAGUGUGAAACUCAAAGGAAUUGACGGGGACCCGCACAAGCGGUGGAGUAUGUGGUUUAAUUCGAUGCAACGCGAAGAACCUUACCU
rnacentral:rRNA from 1 species